AGCAUUGUUUUGCACAAUAGUUCUUCACGCAAUGUAAGGGUAAUUGAGCAUACUGCAAUAAUUUGAGCGGGAUCGAUGGCAAAAUUUGGGCGCAAUUCUUCAAGAAUUUUCAAAUUUCAAUCCUUUUUCCUAUGUCCUAUCUAUUUUUGGCUUUCUCUCUCCUUUACCCACAAAAAUCAGAAUCACUCUCUUCCUUCGAUGUUCCUUCUCUUUUUCUCUCUUCUCUGAUCGUCCUCCUCAUUUUUAUCUUCAUCUCAGCAUCUGGAAAUUGUGUUCCAAGUCACGAGAGACGGCUGGGCAUUUGCUCAUCAAAAUAGAGCUAGAAAUUGCAAAUGUCAUCGCCUAUGGGACGCAGAUGAAGCCUUUCUUUGUCACCACUGGUCAGCUGUGAAAGGAGCAGAAACUAGCCGAAAAAUUCGCAAGAUUCAUCGUCAGCACUGGCACUUAAGGAGAUAAAAGAGCCCCAUUAAAGAUCUCAUCAACAAUGUCCACUCCUCCUCUUCCUCUUUCUCUCACCAACUGUAGCCUUAUUUUUUCUUGAACUUAUAGCUUUUAUGGCCUCAAGGAGCGAUUAAUUGAAAACAGUCCUACAUCUUGCUAAAAUCAUGAUUCAUGUUUUGCUGUUCUAGCAACAAACAAAGCACAGAACAGAGUUUGAGGAAAUAUGAAUUUGGGGAUCAUUGGAAUCUUGGAAUCGAGGACCGUGCGAAGCCUCAGGUGUACAAUGAAGAGCACGAGAACAAGGAUCUUCAACAACGUGUCGCCGCAGCAAGAAACAAAAAUUGAAGAACUGGCUGUCGAAAAAAUGGAACGGCCAUGGAAUCUGCUUCACGUCACGUGCCUAAAAGCAGGAAAAGAUUCUUUCCUUCUUCUUCUUCGUCCAUAUGCACACUGUUUCUGUUGUUAUUUAUCUAUUCUAAAGCGGGGUUAACACUGUUGGGCUUCAGUUUUCAACAUUAGAGUUUUUUUCUUUUGCUGAUUGCUUCAAGUAUUAAUUUUUUUGGUCGCUUUUGUCUUGCUGUUUAGGUUUCACACAUAUACAAACGAGUUGCAGCUUAAAGUGUUGUCGUAAAUGGUUCUGUAAUUGGCGGGUAAAAAUAGGAAAAAUUCGAAGAACUUGAGACAAUAGAUAAUGUUUCAGUCAUAUGCAUAGAGUGACGAUGAAUUCGAUAAGUUUUACUUCCAAAAGAAGUACAUUGAAGAUGGAGCAUGAAAAAGGUGAUUUUGAUGUCAACGAUUAUGGUGAGGAGGAUGAGGAGAAACAAGGAGAAGAGGGAAAAAAUCGAGAUGAGGGAACAGUUGAGGAAGACCAAAGUGGAUGGAAUAAUGAUGAGAUGGAAUAACUUGAGAAAGUGUAUAAGGAUCUUCAUCACCAGGGGCGUGAUAGGUGGUAGUAGUAUGCAGUGAGAGUGGUUCCCACUUUUCAGCAACCAGUUGGGUUGAGAUUGUAGCUGAGGAUUUGAAGUUUAUCAUGAAAGUCAGACUAGAUUAGAAAGGAGAUUUCGGAAGUCCAGAGAAGCAGGGGUGAGCCAGAGAUGGAGGAAACAUGAUGGGGAAGAACAAGGAUCUUCAAGAACGUGCCAUUGCAUCAACAAACAGAUAUUGAAGAAGUGGCUUCCGGAAUAGUGGAACGGCAAUAAAAUCACGUCACACGCCUGAAA